GGUCAUUACCUAGAGUUGCGGGCUUUGCCUGCUAUCUCUUACCCAUGUCUUUUGAGUACCUUCGUUUCCUCGGCGGGUUCGCCCGCCGAUUGGACAAUUUAAACCAUUUGCAGUUGCAAUCAGCGUCUGAAAAAACUUAAUAGUUACAACUUUCAACAACGGAUCUCUUGGUUCUGGCAUCGAUGAAGAACGCAGCGAAAUGCGAUAAGUAGUGUGAAUUGCAGAAUUCAGUGAAUCAUCGAAUCUUUGAACGCACAUUGCGCCCCUUGGUAUUCCAUGGGGCAUGCCUGUUCGAGCGUCAUUUGUACCUUCAAGCUCUGCUUGGUGUUGGGUGUUUGUCUCGCCUCUGCGCGCAGACUCGCCUCAAAACAAUUGGCAGCCGGCGUAUUGAUUUCGGAGCGCAGUACAUCUCGCGCUUUGCACUCAUAACGACGACGUCCAAAAGUACAUUUUUACACUCUUGACCUCGGAUCAGUAGGGAUCCCGUGAACUAAGCAUAU
rnacentral:rRNA from 1 species